CUGAUACUCCCUCCGUCCGAAAUGACAAAUGGAUGAAAAGGGAUGUAUCUAGAACUAAAAUACAUCUAGAUACAUCCCUUUUUAUUCUUUUUGAUGACAAGUAUUUUCGGACGGAGGGAGUAUUAC
rnacentral:pre_miRNA from 1 species